rnacentral:rRNA from 1 species
GAUGAACGCUGGCGGCGUGCCUAAUACAUGCAAGUCGAACGGAGAUCAGGAAUGGUCUUAGUGGCGAACGGGUGAGUAACGCGUUGGUGACCUGCCCCAAAGCGAGGGAUAACAGACCGAAAGGUUUGCUAAAACCGCAUGAACUGACGGAGGACUAGAAAGCUGUCAGGAAAGGAGAAAUCUGCUUUGGGAGGGGCCUGCGUCCCAUCAGCUAGUUGGAAAGGUAACGGCUUACCAAGGCGAUGACGGGUAGGGGACCUGAGAGGGUGGCCCCCCACAAUGGAACUGAAACACGGUCCAUACACCUACGGGUGGCAGCAGUAGGGGAUAUUGGUGAAUGGGCGAAAGCCUGAACCAGCAACGCCGCGUGUGCGAUGAAGGCCUUCGGGUUGUAAAGCACUUUUUACCGGGAAGAGGAAGGACGGUACCGGUAGAAUAAGCCUCGGCUAACUACGUGCCAGCCGCCGCUGUAAGAC